rnacentral:lncRNA from 1 species
CACUAUAUUGUCAAAACAUAGAUUAAUUAGGCUUAAAAAUUUGUCUCACAAAUUAAUCCAAAUUCGUGCAAUUAGUUAUUUUUUAAACUAUAUUUAAUAAUCCGUACAUGUGUCUAAAUAUUCAAUGUGAUAGAAGUAAAACUUUUGAAGUGACAACUAAACGGACCUGAAUGAACCAUGAGUAGCAUUUGGUGUGCACGUUGAGGCUGUUUUUUUUUUCUUUUUACCCUUGCAAGUUUCUCUCAAUGCAAUAUGAUAACACAUGUCUUCUUUUUCACUACAUUAUUACAAGAAUAUAAUAAAAUAUAAAAAGAAACGUUCAAUAGUCAAAUUCGAGACAGACAGACGGCGAGAUUGUAAGUCGAUGGUUUCUACAUUUCUGAGCUUUGUUCUUUCGUGGGCUGCCAGAACUAAUUGGUGUAUCGAGCUUAUACUCUGUAUACAUAUAUGACGUGAUGUACCGAUAUACAUAUAAAUUUGUAUACUUAUAUUUAUUUUUGUGCUACAAAACUUGGGU